CAAUAGCGUAUAUUUAAGUUGUUGCAGUUAAAAAGCUCGUAGUUGGAUUUCGGAUGGGACUUGCCGGUCCGUCGUUUCGAUGUGCACUGGCCAGUCCUAUCUUGUUGUCGGGGACUAGCUCCUGGGCUUCACUGUCCGGGACUAGGAGCUGACGAGGUUGCUUUGAGUAAAUUAGAGUGUUCAAAGCAAGCCUACGCUCUGAAUACAUUAGCAUGGAAUAACACGAUAGGACUCUGGCUUAUCUUGUUGGUCUGUGAGACCAGAGUAAUGAUUAAGAGGGACAGUCGGGGGCAUUCGUAUUUCAUUGUCAGAGGUGAAAUUCUUGGAUUUAUGAAAGACGAACUUCUGCGAAAGCAUUUGUCAAGGAUGUUUUCAUUA
rnacentral:rRNA from 1 species